AUUGAACGCUGGCGGCAGGCCUAACACAUGCAAGUCGAGCGGAUGAAGGGAGCUUGCUCCUGGAUUCAGCGGCGGACGGGUGAGUAAUGCCUAGGAAUCUGCCUGGUAGUGGGGGAUAACGUCCGGUAACGGGCGCUAAUACCGCAUACGUCCUGAGUGAGAAAGUGGGGGAUCUUCGGACCUCACGCUAUCAGAUGAGCCUAGGUCGUAUUAGCUAGUUGGUGUGGUAAAGGCCUACCAAGGCGACGAUCCGUAACUGGUCUGAGAGGAUGAUCAGUCACACUGGAACUGAGACACGGUCCAGACUCCUACGGGAGGCAGCAGUGGGGAAUAUUGGACAAUGGGCGAAAGCCUGAUCCAGCCAUGCCGCGUGUGUGAAGAAGGUCUUCGGAUUGUAAAGCACUUUAAGUUGGGAGGAAGGGAAGUAAGUUAAUACCUUGCUGUUUUGACGUUACCAACAGAAUAAGCACCGGCUAACUUCGUG
rnacentral:rRNA from 1 species